UCUGAAACGGAUUCGGAUAUUUGUGCAAAAAAUAAUCUUAUUACCUGAUUCAGUCCGAUUCUUUGAAUACAGUUAUUUAUACGGUAACAUAUCUAAAAUAUAUAACACUAAUCAUAAAAACGAAUAUCAAUUCAUAAAAACGUAAAAUAAAUACACCCGCGGGAGCUUAUAUAUUUAUUUAUUUAUUUUUACUUUUUUGAAAAAAGAAUAAUUUGUAAAUUUUUGAGGCUUCAAAUACAUUCUGGACGAUAACAGUAGUUACAAUCCGAUCCGAAUCGAACACAGAAGAAACCAAACCGAAUCUUACUCGAUAAUUAGUAAAACUUGAAUGAAAGAUAUGAGUACAACACCAAAAAUCCUAAAAAAUGAAACAAACGAACCAAAACCGAACACCCCCCCCCCCCCCCCCGCCCCCGCCCCGCCCCAACCAACCAAGGCAAAAAUAAAAACAAAAACAAACAAAGUUGAAACUCUAUGAGAGCUGAGAGGAUGGAAUUGCUUCCGUCUUCUGUUACCCAAGAUGGCAUCCCGAAUAAAUCUGUCAAUUUGCUUGAAGAUUACCGUUGGCGUCGAAGAUAUUCCGUCAUGGAGUCUACGGUUCCGUUCUGUAGUCACAGUCAUGAUCUUCAUGGCCAUGGAGAUAAUGCUGAGCAAUUGUUGGAGAAAUCAGAGGAAAGGAGGAACAUCGAUGUGCAACGAGCUUAUCUUCAUCCUCUUGGCGAGCAUUGGACUAAUGAUUGGAGAGGGAUUGAUUUGGUAUAACCCUAAAUGGAAAUUAAUUAACUUGAUCUGCAUGUUAGUACUUUCUAUUAUUUUUUAGGGAUAACCAUCAAGGUGCUUCGAAACAUACUUGAUGUUCUAAUGGAGAGUACACCAAGAUAGAUAGAUGCUAAGCAGCAUGAAAAAAGUCUAAUGGAGAUUGAGAAAGUGGUGUCUGUUCAUGAGCUUCACAUCUGGGCAAUCACGGUUGGAAAGGCUUUGUUUUCUUGUCAUGUCAAGAUUAAACAAUUAGUUUAAGAACUUUUUGCACUUUCUUUCUCUCUUUUUCUAAUUGUUUUCUUUUUCUUAAAUCUUAAGAACCCUCUAACAAACCAUUGUUAGAGGUGCUCUUAAGACUGAGAUUGUAGACAAAACUGGGACAUUUUAUAGUACAACACUGUUCAAUGCCGUAUAAGCCAAGGAAAUCAUUAGACUUGAUGGGAACAGGCAUAAUUUCUGUAGCUUUUUGAGCCUUGAAGAAAAGAAUGGUGGUGUGUAAAUAUGAUGUUAUCUCUCAUACAGAAUGACCGAGUCAUUGAGAUAUAAUGAGAAAGAUGACACAAACCCAAUAGAAGCUCUCUUACCCAUGAUUUGUCUCUUUUUUACCUUCUUCUGUGUAAUAAUAUAAGAAUGUGAAAAAAAAAAAAUAAGAAUGUGCCCACAGAGUCUCUGUCUCUACUUCAAGACAAAACUGCAUCCAUCAAUAAUAUCUCCCUCUCUCCUCUGCUGGGACAAAGGCCUUUUUCAA